rnacentral:pre_miRNA from 1 species
GCCCGACGCCGGAUCCGACGGUUCGAGGGCUAGAUCCGGCCAUCCGGCCGCUGGAUCUGGCCCUCCAGCCGUCGGAUCCGGCGGUUCGG